CAUGCGGUCACCAAAGGGCCGAAAGUGGGCAAAAGCACGAAAGCAUGGUCGCUUUCGGUGCCCCCAGGAGGCGCUGCCACUGCCCCAGGGGCAUGACCGUGCUGUUGCUGCCUGUUGCUGUGUGUGCGCGCUGCAUUGAGGCAGGUCGAUGUGGAUGUUUAAUCGUGUGUACGCUGUGCCGAGAGAAAAUGUCGUGCCCCUUGUGUGCUUUGAUGAUCACCUAACCCCUGGGACCGCGUAACGUAGCUCGCAGUACCUUUCGCGUGGUUCGCCGAUGUCGAUUAUCGUAGUUAUGGCCCGCUUGCGCUUUCUUUGUUCCCGGCCUCUGAUAAUAUCGCAUCGGAUCACAGUGCACGGAACAAUUUGUUGAGCUAUUACGUGCUGUAGUUCAUCCGCAAUUCAACAGUGUUUACGUCGGAAGGAUCGUCGUGCAGUCGACGCCGCGACCUGACAUGAAGGAGCGUUUGCCGACUACGCCUAGAAAGGGAUGUCAAGAUUUCGUGAACCAGAGGCACCGCAUAGGAACCUAAGACAUUUCUGCAGCCGGAACAGCACGGCAAAGCAUCUGAUCUGCAUGCUGCGACAAGGUAUGGCUGGGCCUGGUGAUGAAGUGUAAGCAGAACAUGCUAUGCUGCGAAUUGGUGCCAAUCUUCACAUCCGAGUUGUUCCCACGACAGUCAAGCACCACUGUGAUUUGCUUCAUUGGCAAGGUAAUAUACUAUGGUGAGCUUGCACCUCAAUAUUGGUAUUGAAAAAUAUGUCAAGUAAAAGACACAAGAGUUGGCCUUUAUGAGAGAUACAUUCAUGUUCUUUUUUUAAAGAGCUCUUUUAGCACUGUUCUUUAUGGGCAUGUUUUCAGAGGAUGCUUAUACUCCUUUAUUACAAACUGCCAUGGAGUUAGUUUGUGUGUUAAACUAACACUCUUUCACUAAGAAAAAGUCCAGUUUUUACUCGCACAGUGAUAUGGUGCCAAGGACGAAAGGGGUGGAAUGGAUCAAUCUGAAUGCAUGUUGCUCACACAAAUACAAAAAGGGAGCAUGGCAUGGCUAGCGCGAUUUGUUUUACAGUGAUGAUAAGCAGUCUCAAUGUCUAAUAAUUCUAUUGAUAGGGAGCUAACACACUGGUUCCCCGUCAUUUGAAUAAAGAAAGAUUCACAUAUCUCUGAAGCACUCUGGUCCUUAUAUUUUGCCACAUUCAAGUGGUUUUUAAAUAUGGGUGCACAUUGCACUGAGAGCAGUGCAGUACUAAUGCCAACUGGCCCACACAUCAAGUUUGCGUGGUUACGCAGCCUGUCAUUUAUACAUUUGGCUUGUUUAGCCAAUGUAGCAUCUACUGCACAAUAAUGGUAUGUGAUAGACACUGCACCUGUGUACUCUAUGCUUUUUUUGCAUUCAAUUUUUUUCACCGGUAGUGAUGCAUGCCUUUUCAAUAUUUAUGUGCCUACACAACAAGCCAAGCUUGUUCUUGGCCGAGAAAGAAUUCUAGGAAAAGCCUACGUGCUGCAACUUUUCUUGGAACGAAACUAGCUUGGCUCGUUGGGUUAGGUUAAAUGGUUCGAUGGGUUUUGGAGCCCAUACGGGUUCCUUGCUCACACUAAGACACAUAAGCUUGUAGACUGUGCUUCUGUAAUUUGUACAGCUCACUGACAGUGCAGGUGCAGGCCUCAUGAAAGUAUGAAAUUUUUGUUUAUGUAGCUGCUGUCAGCAUAUUCUAUAUUAUCAUUUGGUCUUAUGCAUAUACUGUUUGCUCUAAAAAAAUUGAAUUCUUGAGUUUCACAUGCUAAAACCACGAUAUGAUUAUGAGGCAUGCUGUAGUAGGGGACUCCGGAGUAUCCCUUGAACCCUUGUUAACUCAAACUCUGAUAUCUGAACAUAUCAGUUAAGUCGAAAAUUUUUUCGUGGCUCGGUAUUGACUUUAUGUAUAUUUGACCUCUUAUCUAGCAAUGCUUCUGUGCUGUGCUCCGGGUAUCUCGAAAUCUUGACUGCAACACUGUAGGGAAAAUGUUAUCACCCAAAGGUUUCCAUACGUUGUACGCAGCUGCGAUAUCUCCAAAAGUUGCAAGAUCGCAAGUUUGUAGCAAAUUCUGCUUCAUUCCAUGCCACUCUUGUCAUCCACUGUUCACGACCGGCAGAGAUUUCAUUGGUAAUCCGGGCAGAGUGUUUCUCUGACCCCUGACAAAAUGCAAUGAGCAUGAUAAGGCCUCCCGCUUUUUAACUAUAUUACAUAAGAACACUAUAAUAUGGUUGUGCAUCAUCCUGAACGGGACAUCGCAUUAGACGACUUUUGCACAGGAUAGUGCUUGGUGCACCUGAGAGUACUUCUACAUGUCUCGCUGAUUAUUGCGCCUUAGAGGUGCUAAAAUGAUGCGGGGUGGACGCUCGCACAAUAUGGAUAAAAAUGCGGGAGGCUGUACACCUGAGCACCACAACAUACAUGCUCAUGUGUACGCAUAGAGUUGUCAGCUUGCUCAUCUCCUGUGCUCUGUGUUUCUGUGUGGAUCUGCGCGCUAGGCCAUACCGUGUGCUGCGCCGAAUGUUUGGCACGUUAUUGGUAUUUUUUUCAUUAACAAGUUCAGGGCCAUGAUCUUGUGGCAAUGCGUUGUCUGAUGCAAUUUCUAAUCAUGCUUCGUCAGUUGUCAUAGUGACACUGUGCCCACGUUAUCAGUACGGGUUUGAUGGAACAUCGUAUAACGGCGCUGUGUGAGAACGGAUCACAGAAAGAAUGCACAGAGGACAAUCGCCGAACUUCAGCUGAGGUUUACAGCAGAAAAAUUACACAAGCAGCAGUUUCUGCGCAGAAACAUUGGACAAAAUACCGCCAUGGCGCACAUUGUGUCGUAACGAUCACAACAGAUGGUCAUGUCAUACAACUCUAUGGAACAUCCUGAUCUGCGCAAGAUCAAAGACACAUUUGUACUACACGUUAUGCAAUCAAGUUACGCUCUUCAAGCCCGCCAACUUGCAAACCUUUUGCAAAUAUGUCUCUUCUCUUUUUGACAAAUUAAGUGAUGCGGUGCUAAUGCAACCUUCUCCUUCCUUUUUUCACGUGAAAUGCCUCAAGCAAUUCACUCUCUUUUUGAUCCUUAAAACUUCCUAGUAUACAAGUGUCGUCGUACACUGGAGUGCAAGGACACCUUUUGCAAUGGUCAGCCGAGUGACCCCCUGCUACGAAAGCCGGCACGGAUGCUCGAUGCUCCCUCAAAUGGUCAUUAAAACAUCUACCAGUUUGGCUGACAUAACACCUGCCACAAGAGAGCGGGUUGUGGUAAACCACCUCCGCCUGGCAGCGUACGAAGCCCUUAGCAUGCUGUUUCGCACAUUUAUGUGAAGUGCGUGCACUGUUCACUGCACGGCAAAUUCACCCCAGUUUUUCUGAGCGGAGAACACUAUGGGAAGGCCGCACUUUCCGGCCACUGUCUUCAAGUGGUGGGAGAGGUUGUGCAAAUAAGGCACCAUUAACGGCUUCCUUGACCAUUCUUUAUCGGCUCCCCUGCUCCCCACACCAGACCUUACUUCACCAAAUAGGCUUUCAACAACAGAAGCGAUUGUUUCACCAGGGAAACCCACCUGCUUGAGCCUCUUGGUUGUUUGCACUCCGAGCUUUCUGAUGCUCACAUCACCAUUCGAGCGCGGAUCUGAUACUGUUCAAUGCGAUGUCUCUUAACAAGUUUUGAGUUCCAAUAAUCCCAUAGUCUCCUCCGCUCGGAAAAACUGGCACGAAUGUGCUAUGCCGGGAACAGUACACGCACUUCACAAAAGAGUGCAAAACAGCAUGUUAAGGGCUUCGUACGCUGCGAGAUGGAGGUGGUUUACCACAUCCCGCUGUCGUGUGGCAGUUAUGUCAGCCAAACUGGUAGAUGUGUUAAUGACCAUUUGAGGGAGCAUCGAGCAUCCGUGCAGGCUUUUGUAGCGGGGGGGUCGCUUGGCUGACCAUUGUAAAGGUGUAUUUGCACUCCAGUGUACGACGACACUUGUAUACUUGGAAGUUUUAAGGAUCAAAGAGAGAGAGAAUUGUUUGGGGCAUUUCAUAUAAAAAAGAAUGGAGAAAGUUGCAUUAACAUCACAUUAUUUAAUUUAUCAAAAAGAAAAGACAUAUAUUUGCAAGAAAAGGUUUUGAAUUUCGCGGGUUUGAAGAGCGUAAAUUGAUGAUGGGGUAUAACGUGUAGUACAAAUGUGUCUUUAAUCUUGUGCAGAUGAGAACGUUUGUAGUGCUGUAUGACAUGAUGACUUUCUGUUAUGAUCGCGCUGACAAUGUGCACCAUGGCGGUGUUUCGUCCAAUGUUUCUGUGCAGGAACUGCUGCAGUAAACCUCAGUUGAAGCUCGGCGAUUGUCCUCAGUGCACUCUUUCUAUGUGCC